ACCUGAAACUUCACUCUGCUGCUCCUACAGGCUGUGUGUGUGUGUGUGUGUGUGUGUGUGAGAGAGAGUGAGAGUGAGUGAGAGUGAGAGAGAGUGAGAGUGAGUGAGAGUGAGAGAGAGUGAGAGAGAGUGAGAGCUUGUACCCUGUUUCAGAAACUCCUCAAAGGAAACAGUACUGAAGUGUGAGUGUGGGGCAGCACCAGUGACCCAGUGGUUAAGGAGCUGCGUUACUGCUCAGCAUGACAUGGCUUCAAGUCCCAUCUCUGCUAAAGUGCUCCUGCUGGGCUCUUGGUUAUGGCUCUUAGCUCGCUGCACUUUUUAAUGCGCUGAAGAUACAGACUUUCACUGUGCUGUAAUGUAGCUGUGACAACUAAAGGCUUCUUCUUCUAACAGAGAAUGUAUUGACCAAUGAGAAUCACUGAGAACAUGAAUCUAUACAUAUAGUUGCAUAUUAAUCCGUAGGCACUGCUGAUUGGGUGGCUGGGUGAUGACCUAUGAAUUGACAGCCAGUGUUUUCAGUUGGACUGCCUGUCAGUUCUGUAGGCCACUGCACGGCCCACCCACACACACACCCACACACACACCCACACACACACACACACACACACACACACACACACUAAAUUCAUUGUGUUUGUGUGAUUUGUAUAUUAAAUUGUGCAUUGUGUGUAAAAUAUCACCUUUAACACAGCCUGUGUGUGUUAGUGAACAUGGUCACUGUAUGUCAUGAUUUUAUUUAUGUAUAUGAUUUUGUUCUGUAGUGUAUAGAGUUGAUGUUGGGGCUUUUAUGCUUGGAAACCUCAAAUCUACAUCACCUCCUGUGUAUUAAAUAAAACCUUACACUUUUCUGUCUCUCAGACUAGAGAGUAAGCUUAAUUAUUAGAACAGAGCCUGAGUUCAUAUCAGAGGGAAUUUGAGUGCUUUGAAAUGAACAGGAGAGAAUCACUGUAUUCGACAAUAACUUUAAUGUUGGAAAAAGAAUUCUGAAAAGAAAAAAAUAAAUAAAAAUGUUUGUGGA